GCCAUUUUCUUUUUUUUAAUACAGAUCCGCCAUUACACACGCAUACGGAAGUUUACUUAAUUACAUACCUAAUCCAAAUAUUGCAAUACAUCCGGCAUACGCGCAAAUUGGAAACAGUAUUUUAUUUAUAACAAAUAAUACGCAUGCAGCACACGCGAUUUUAUCGAUGGGUCGUUACGGCGGUGUCCAGAUGGAGUAUAUAUAUAGAGGUCCCGAUCUGUGUGUAGAAAUACGCAUGUACUCCGUACAUGCAUGACACGUACUGUCAUGCACGCCUGCAUGCAUGCACAGCAUCACGCCGGGCAGGUGAAGCUGGCGACGCGGUCCUUGUGGCAGUAGUUGAGCAGGAGGGUGAGGUCGAUGGGGACGUUGAGCACGAUGCCGAGAAUGUUGGCCCUGAUGGCGAGGCAGAGGCAGACGGCGGCGUCGAGGUCGGCGAGCCCCUGCAGCAACGGGCAGCACUGCUCGUCGUCUGGCACGCCGAUGUUCAGCCUCAGCAGGUUCAGCACGUUCGCGCACACCUCGAGCUUCAGCGCGUCGAUCGGGCAGCUGCCGGCGGAGCCGUUACCACCCCCGCCCCCGCCCCCGUCGGACGGAGGAGGCUGUGGCGUCGUCGGGGUCGGGGUCAUUGGCGGCGACGGGCAGUUGGUGCUGCCCCCGUCCGCGGCGGCGGAGAGGAGGAAGGUCGUGGCAAGGAUGAGGAGCGCAAGCCUCGCAGCCAUUUCGAGAUCCGUUGCGCUACUCUACUGUGUGUUCAGGUUCAGUACGUGCAGAGCUCUGCUUGGACAAGCUCCGAGCUAGCUAGGCGUACAUUUUUCG
rnacentral:misc_RNA from 1 species